UAAUUGGACACAGUAUCUUUAUUUUACUUAUUUGUUUUUAUGUGGCGCUGAGUAUGGAACCCAGUGCCUCGCACAUGUUAGGUGAGCGCUCUAUAGCUGAGCCCCAGCUCCAGCCCCAAUAUGCAGGUUUUUUAGGGCUAGUUUUUAUACUAUUAUUGCUAUGGAACUGGUAAUAAUGACUUCUUAAAGAUUCUAACUAUACCAUUUAUAAUAACUCACAGAAAUGAAGGAUAUAGGAAUAAAUCUAAUACUUCUAGAGAGAAAAUUCUAACACUGCCCCCAGCUAAUAUGCAGGGUAUUUUAAAAAAUAUUUUUAGUUGUAAUUGGACACAAUAUCUUUAUUUUACUUAUUUGUUUUUAUGCUUUGAGUCAAAAUUUGAGUUGUCCCCCAUUCUUCUCUUUCUUAUAUACCCUACGUCUAAGUAAUCAGAAGCUUUGUUGACACUUCCAAUGAAACAUAUUCUAAAUUGACUUCUCAGUAGCUCCACUGGUACCUGCUAGUUCAAAAUGCCAUAUGUCACACCUGGAUUCCUAAAUUUGUUUCCUUGCUUUCCAUUGUUGUCCCUCUCUAGCCCCCUGGGUCUGCCUACAGCUAAGCCUAUGGAAGUGAGGACUGUCAACCCCCUCUCUGCAUCUGCCAGCUGUGUCUUAAUUCUGUCUAUUCUCAGGCCUAGAUCCACUAGAUUGAUUGGGCUAAUCCUUGGUCUUUCCGGGAAAAUCCCUAAAUCCUAAAUGCACUGAGCCAGGGAAGACCCAGGAUGGACCCAACUAUUUCUGUUUUACCCCAAACCAGUUGGUCUGCUUCAGGGGUGCCUUCUCAGGCUAGGAAACUCCGAGUGCUCUGAAGUGGGUCUGGACUCCCGUGGUCUUUGAAUGAGUUUGAAGUUUUCCACACCAAGUCUGGAAGGUGAGAAACUGACCUCAACUGACCCACCUCCUCUUAACCAGUUGCUGGUUCUGUUCCCCACCUGUCCACUCUGGGACGUUGUAUUUAGGCUUGAAAGACCCAGGGAUAGGUCCAAGACCCUUACAGGUGAAGCUUCCCUGGGUCCAAGCGGCCCUGGGUGUUGCCCCUGGGACCAUAAAGGACACCACUUACCCUGCCCCCGCCCCGCCCGGCCGCAUCAAAGCACAAAAACAAGACCCACGUCCUGCACCGGGUCCCUUUAGGAACUGGAUCUCAGUCCAGGGAGGCUUUCCCACCCAGGAUAGGUAGAUCCCGGAUCCUUGGGGACUAAACCCCAGUUUCCGAACCCACUUGGGGACAACGCUCCAUCCUGGGCUCCCUGCCCGCCGGCCCGCUGGUGGUGCGCCCGGGCUCUGGGGAUGCGGGAGCCAGAAGGUGGGUUCCCUGACCGGGAGGCUGCGGCCGCCUCGUC
rnacentral:lncRNA from 1 species